UACGUAGGGCGCGAGCGUUGUCCGGAAUUAUUGGGCGUAAAGAGCGUGUAGGCGGCCCGGUUAGUCCGCUGUGAAAGUUCAGGGCUCAACCCUGGAAUGCCGGUGGAUACUGUCGGGCUAGAGUCCGGAAGGGGCGAGUGGAAUUCCUGGUGUAGCGGUGAAAUGCGCAGAUAUCAGGAGGAACACCAAUGGCGAAGGCAGCUCGCUGGGACGUGACUGACGCUGAGACGCGAAAGCGUGGGGAGCAAACAGG
rnacentral:rRNA from 1 species